UGUGUCACUCAUCCUGUCCCCUGUCCCGCUCACCCCCAUUCCAUUAAACCCCGUCCCUUUGUCCCGUUUGUCCCUGUCCCCUGCUCCUCUCAUCCUUGUCCCCCGUGCCCUGCCCAUCCCUGUCCCCCUCAUUUCCCAUCCCUGUCCCCUACAUUGCCCACCCUGUCCCCUGCGCUGCCCAUCCCUGUCCCCGUCCCCUGCCAGUCCCUGCCCGUCCCUGUCCCCUGCGCUGCCACGGGGAUGUGGCACAACUGGACAAGGGACUUCCAAAAGGCCAUCAGGGUCCCCGGGCGAACUGGUUUUGCCUGGGGUGUCCCCUCCAGCUGCCAGCACAGACCCCGCUGUCCCCUCCGUGUCCCCCGUGUCCCCCCGGCGCCCCUCUGCACCGCCAGCCCGGGACCCCGCGGUGCCCCUCGGCCGUGGUCCAGUGCCGCGGCCGUUCCCGAAGCGCUGCCAUCCCUUCCCGGUGAUUCCCGGUGUCCCCAGCUCCCGUCCCCGCUCCGGACACCCCCAGAGCCGGGGCCACCUCGCCUUUGGAAAAGCCAUCCGGGAGAAGGCAGAGCGGGAGCCCAGCUGACCCCUGACCCCUGACCCCGGCCCCUCGGCCGCGCUGACCCCUCGGUCGCCCCCCGGCUCUGCCACCCCCGGGUCACGCUGACCCCUCGGUCACAACGACGCAUCGGCCAUGCCAAACCUUUGGCCACACCGACCCCUCGGCCACAUUGACCCCUCGGCCACACCGACCCCUCGGCCAUGCCAAUCCUGGGGUCACACCGACCCCUCAGCCACGCCAACCCAUCGGCUGUGCCGACCCCUCGGCCACAUUGACCCCUCGGCCACACCGACCCCUCGGCCACGCCAACCCAUCGGCUGUGCCGACCCCUCGGCCACACCGACCCCUCGGCCACACCGACCCCUCGGCCACAUUGACCCCUCGGCCACGCCAAGCCAUUGGCCGUGCCAACCCCUCGGCCGUGCUUUGGCCACGCCAACCCAUUGGCCAGGCUGGCCCCUUGACCACACUGACCCCUUGGCCAUGCCAAGCCACUGGCCGUGCCAAACCCUUGGUCAGUCUCAGACCAUGGACCCCUGAGCCACACUGACCCCUCAGCCACACUGACCCCCCCAGCUGUGCUGACCCUUUGAGCACCCUUGGCCAUGCCAAGCCCUCGGCCACGCCAACCCAUCGGCCACGCUGACCCCUCGGCCACGCCAAUCCGUUGGCCGUGCCAAGUCCUUGACCGCGCCUCAGCCCUUUGGCCACGCCAAUCUUUCGGCCAUGCCAACCCCUCGGCCGUGCCGACCCCUUGGACACCCCUUGGCCCUUUGGCCGUGCCAACCCAUCGGCCAUGUUGAUCCUUUGGCCAUGCCAACCCCUUGGCCGUGUUGACCCCUUGGCCACGCCAACCCAUCGGCCGUGCCGACCCUUUGCACCCCUUGGCUACACCAACCCCUUGGCCAUGCCAAUCCAUUGGCCGUGCCAAGCCCUUGACCACCCCUCGGCCGCGCCAACCCAGUGGCCGCGUUGACCCCUUGGCCAUGCCAAGCCAUCGGCCACGCCAAGAGCUUCACCACCCCUUUGCCAGGCAAACCCACCGGCCGCGCCGACCCCUCGGCCGCGCCGACCCAUCAGCCAUGCCAAGCCCUCGACCACCCCUCGGCCGUGCCGGCCCCUCGGCCACGCCAAAAGCUCGGCCACGCCAACCCAUUGGCCGCGCUGACCCUUUGACCACCGCUUGGCCUCUCGGCCACGCCGACCCCUCGACCACGGCUCGGCCACGCCAACCCCUCGGCCGUGCCGCCCCCGGCCACGCCGCCCCCGGGCCGCGGCGGUAACUGUGAUUCCUCUCAUGGCUUCUCCACCACUCGGGUUUUUCCGCUGUACAAAGGGAGACACUUUUCCUUUUCUUUUCCCCCUCUGCUUCCGAAGGGGGGAUUUUUUUUCCCCCACUCCGAGCUGUCGAUAUUUUUCCGUUGUCCAGCCCGGCGCCAUCGCCCCCUCCAUCCGCCCGACCGUGACAAAGAGCAGAACCCCCUCGGGUCACUCGGCUCCCGGGGGGGACAAUGGCCCCGCCGGUCCCAUCGGUGGCGGGGCCGCUGUCCGGCCACGCGCCCACCGCCCAUGCAUGUGCCACCCCUCACGCCCGCUGCAUGUGCACAGCCCGGCCCCGCCACGCUCCCGGUUCCGUCCCCCCAGCCGGACUCACCUGUGGGUUUUCGUUCCGUUUUUAAUUUCCCAGGGUCAGUUUGACUUCACCCUUAAUUUUGUAUGGAUUUUCGGAGGAGCUUUCUCCUUCUCCGGAGUCACGGAGGUGCGGCCAUUCGCCUCCCGCCCUUGACGUUGUGAUACACAUCCCCCACAGAGAUCUAUGUUUCUUAUAUUAUAUUAUUAUUAUUAAUUAUUAUUAUUAUUAUGUAAUAAAUUUAUAA
ensembl:lncRNA